UAUGGCCAGAGCCAUAUCUCCCUGCGGUUCUCGCCUGGUUUCCCAUUGAAGAUAAGCAGGGUUGAGUCUGGCCAGAACCUGGAUGGGAGACUUCCUUGGGAAAACUAAGGCUGCUAUUA
ensembl:rRNA 5S_rRNA 5S ribosomal RNA